GUCUUAAUUUGUUGUUUAAUAAUCAACUGCUUCUUCUCCACUUACCUCUGUGUGUUCAUAUUGGUCAUAUACUGGUCAUAUACUAGUCACAUGGAUUUAGGAGUAGAAGUUUAUUUCCUAUUUGGUUAAUACGUUAUCAGGAAAAAAAAAUUCAAUAAGAUGUCUUUUGCUUUAACAUACAUGGACAUCUUUAGAUCACCUAUAUCUAAUUUUACAAUGCCUGCUUUCUCACUUACAUAGUUGCUACAUGUUGUGAAACUGUUACUGUGGCAUUCAGCUUUCUAAUGCAUACCAGAUACCCUGCAAAUACAAGAAAGCAUUCACAUUAAAGUAACAGUAACUUUACUUCUGAAUGACAAAAAUGAGUUCUUCACAGUCAGGCCCUUUAUGGUAUUUAUAAAUUUGCUCAAGAUUACUGAGGAUGAUGCAUAAACCAUGUAAACAGGGCAAACUUGACACAGAUGAACUGAAGAACAGUAAUCUUGGAAUUAUACAGUGCAAUGUUUUUAUGCAAUUAUUGUUUCUGAAAGAACUGUGCAUUGUCUUUAUAUUACAGGUCUGGAGAGCAACGUUUUCUGUCGAUAGCAGUUUCUGUCUGGUGUGAUGCCCCAUUCUUGUGCUGAUGCUACUUGUAGCACUGAGCAGUACUGGAAAGGAGAAAAGGUCUCUUGGAAUAAGAUCUCCGAUGUCCCCCUACAGUCUGCAGUCGCGCGGCUGGUGGUGUGGCACAGACGGAGCAAGGGUUACAUCAAGGCUGUUCUCUGGACCGUGCAAACAGUCUAGACCAAUGACCUGCAGCAUCAUGCCCUUUGAAGAAGAGGCAAGUUCGGUCACGAUGAAGAAAAAUCAAGGCGUACCCCUUUUAACAAUAGGGAGCAGCUCGUGGCUGCAAAGAGGUAAGCAGGGGUAAGCAAAAAAGGCAUCUGCUUCCAUGGUUACAGGCCAAGCAUGGGAACCUUGCUUUUGAAGAGGGACGGUUCUCAGGCUCCCUCACAGGCUAUGUCAUGCAUUAUAAGCAAAGGCAGGUUGAGCUGAAAUCCGGAGAGUUAUUUCAGAGUAAAAUGAUACGCGAGCACAUGGCUGUUAGCAAAAAAAAGAAGUCACAUGACUGUUUAGAAGCAGGCUUGCACUGUUUCCGAAUCGAGAGCCUUUCGUUUGGGGCAUUUUCUUCUUCUUCAUUUUUUGUUGUUGGAUUUUUAUUUAUUUAUUUAUUUAUGGUCUUUUGCAGCAAACUAUGAGAGUUAGGAGAAUGUUUAUGCAAAACAAACAUUCGCACGAUACACCAGAUUCUGGCUGUUCUCCUACUCUAAACUGAAAAAAGGUCAAGGGUCAAUGUUUUUUUCGUGACAGGGCCACAAAUCCUUUUGUUAGCGUAGCUUUAGCAAAUGCCAUUUAAAAUAAGAUUUUGCUUUUCUUUCUAAGUGCAUAUUAUUAUAAGUUUGACAGAGCAUGAAAGUAAUGAAUUUCUAUAUCUCUGCAAUAACUUUUUUGUUCCAAUCUUUUGCCAGUAAUUUCUUCACCUUUUUUUUUUCCUUUCUGUAUCUACAACGCUAAUUUUUGAGAUUUGCACUCCUAAACUAGACAAUAAAAAGUGCCCAUGAGUCA
rnacentral:lncRNA from 1 species